GUAUGUUCAAUCCUUGAAGCUAAAUCUGUCAACAUGUGGCUUCUACUGGGCAACCUUUUGAUGACGGCAAACCCAUGUCACAGCCAUGGCUGGGUGUAUUACAACAGUGAAAUCCUCAUGGAUUGAGAACUGAAAAAAGAAGGCAGCACACAUGUUGAGCUGGCAUGGUCAAAAGUCAUUCUCCUGACGCCGUGGGACUCGCCCUCAUGGCAGUGUGAGUCGACACCCUCCAACCACCUUCCAAGACCAACUACAUAUGGGCUCGGGACAGUAAUUGAUUGAUGCUGCAGUCUACCAAAAGAGGGUAUGGAUCAAUGUCUUAAAUGAGGAGCACUGAGAAGUGGUCAUGGCUCGGGAGCCCAGGAGAAAUGUCGCUAGGGCGCAGGGUCAGGAAGGGCACAGUGGCGUUAUCCUUGAUCACAAACAAGGUUGAGGGCGGAAGGACGCGGAAGCCCAUGAAUGGAAGUCCUCUAUGC